CCUACGGGUGGCAGCAGUAGGGAAUCUUUCACAAUGGGCGAAAGCCUGAUGGAGCAACGCCGCGUGCAGGAUGAAGGCCCUCGGGUUGUAAACUGCUUUUAUAAGCGAGAAAUAUGAUGGUAACUUAUGAAUAAGGAUCGGCUAACUACGUGCCACCAGCCGCGGUCAUACGUAGGAUCCGAGCAUUAUCCGGAGUAACUGGGUGUAAAGAGUUGCGUAGGUGGCAUAGUAGGUAGCUGGUGAAAUCUGGUGGCUCAACAAUUCAGACCAUUAGCUAAACUGCUAAGCUCGAGACCGUUAGGAGUAACUGGAAUUUCUAGUGUAGGAGUGAAAUCCGUAGAUAUUAGAAGGAACACCGAUAGCGUAGGCAGCUUACUAAGCCAUAACUGACACUGAAGCACGAAAGCGUGGGGAUCAAACAGGAUUAGAUACCCGUGUAGUC
rnacentral:rRNA from 1 species